GCAUAUCCAUUAAGCGGAGGAAAAGAAACUAACAAGGAUUCCCCUAGUAACGGCGAAGUGAAGCGGGAUGAGCUCAAAAUUUGAAAUCUGGCUGGUUUACUAGUCCCGAGUUGUAGUUUAAAGAAGCGUUUUCGGUGGCAGCCUGGGUAUAAAUCCUUUGGAACAGGGUAUCAUAGAGGGUGAGAAUCCCGUCUUUGACUCAGUGCAUGCUACUAUGUGAUACGUUUUCAAAGAGUCGAGUUGUUUGGGAAUGCAGCUCAAAACGGGUGGUAAAUUUCAUCUAAGGCUAAAUAUUGGCGAGAGACCGAUAGCGAACAAGUACCGUGAGGGAAAGAUGAAAAGAACUUUGAAAAGAGAGUUAAACAGUGCGUGAAAUUGUUGAAAGGGAAACGUUUGACACCAGCUAUGUAGGCGGGAAAUCAGUCAACUGCAGUGAGGGGUUGUAUGGGUCUGGACCGCAAGGCCGGCCUAUGCGUCAUCUUUGUUGUAAGCGAUGCACUUUUUCGUCCGCAGGUCAACAUCAGUUUCGUUCGCUGGAAAAAACUCCAAGAGAAGGUAGCAGCUUAGGCUGUGUUAUAGCUCUGGAGCGAUACAGUGGAUGGGACUGAGGAUUCGCAGUGUGUGCUCUCGGGCAAGGCUGAUUGGGUGCUCUGGGGUUGUUUGGCGUACAAUGCAUGCAUUUUGCGCCUUGUCUUCUUCAUACUCGCUCAACUCGGCUCUUCCACGCUUAGGAUGUUGACUUAAUGGUUUUAAACGACCCGUCUUGAAACACGGACCAAGGAGUCUAACAUGCAUGCAAGUGUUUGGGUGGCAAACCCAUGCGCGUAAUGAAAGUGAACGUAGGUGCGAUCCGCAAGGUGCAGCAUCGACCGAUCUUGAUAUUUUUGGAUAGAUUUGAGUAAGAGCAUGUAUGCUGGGACCCGAAAGAUGGUGAACUAUGCCUGAAUAGGGUGAAGCCAGAGGAAACUCUGGUGGAGGCUCGUAGCGAUUUCUGACGUGCAAAUCGAUCGUCAAAUUUGGGUAAUAGGGGCGAAAGACUAAUCGAACCAUCUAGUAGCUGGGUCCUGC
rnacentral:rRNA from 1 species